AGCAGGCUGUGAAGUGAGGGGCUGUUGUCAGCUGAUGGAGAUGCUUCAUAUUAGAUGGGGCCACAGAAAGUUGGGUCAACCUGUCUCCCUAAAUCCUGUGCGGUUUAAGAGCACUCAGAGAAAUUGAGUGUUUUGAAGCAGGGGUUGUUAAGAAAAGGGUAGGACACACAGCCUUUUCUUUCUCCUUCUCUUGGCCAGAUGUUUUUGCUCAGAAUGUUUUCUAACUCCCAGCACUCAGCCUGGGGUGUCAUCACAUUUGCGUGAAAAUGGAAACUAGGAAAAGCUCAGUGACAGUAGUCAGCCUAGAGCCCUGGGGAGCCAGUCACUAGGAACUAUGGUUUCUUAAUGAAUUGGACAGCAUAGCACAUCCUUCCAUUUUUAACACUAAAAUCCCACGAUGCUCCAGAAAAGUGAAACUACUUCUCCAUUCUUGCCCACAGGAGAGAAUGAAGAUGAGAAGCUCAAUGAGGUAAUGCAGGAGGCCUGGAAGUACAACCGGGAGUGCAAACUCCUGCGGGACGCGCUGCAGAGUUUUAGCUGGAAUGGUCGUGGAUUCACAGAUAAAGUGGACCGAUUAAAGCUGGCAGAGGUUGUGAAGCAGGUGAUCGAAGAGCAGACCCUUCCCCACGAGCCCCAGUAGGAACCGCUUCAAACUGUUUUUAACAAUUGGAAAAAUUAUUCCUUAAUGUAAAAAGUAAUUUUUAUGNAAAUUAAUAAAUCAUAAUUUNCANU
rnacentral:lncRNA from 1 species